rnacentral:lncRNA from 1 species
GUUGUUUUUUUAGAGUUUAAUUUCAUUUUUUUUUCUCUCUUUAAAUCGCAUUAUGCAACCACAACAUUCAUAUUGUUGAAGACAAUACUAUUAUUUACACAUUGUGUCAUUGCCUUUAUACCGUAAUAUAUCACGGCAAUAAAAUUCAUAUUGGGUUAAGACUAUUGGACACUGUGUCAUUAUCCUUUUUUUUCUUAUCACACCACUUAUUUGUCCUUUUUACAAUGAUAAAUAUCCGUAGGACAGUUGCACGCAGUUUACCAAAUUUAUCCUGAUUUUUUUUAAGACAUACCUUUAUCAAUAAACAUAGGGAAGCAACCCCAAAACAAUGUUUUUUUUAUUAAGUCAAUGAUAUAAGGGAGAUAGUUAGAAGUGAUUGUUAAAAAAUGCUCUGAAAUUUAUUAGAACACUAUCAGCCAAUCGAAUUUCAAGAAAUUAUUCUAAAUCAGGUUUUAGAUAUAUUACUCAGGAUUCAGCCUUUGACAACUUCAAUGAAUUGCGAGUAUUUGAAACACAAAACCUAAAAAAAAAUUGAAUAGAAGAGGUCGGAUACUUGCAACAGGUCACAUACGAAUUCAUGAUAUUAUUAGAAAUCAAUUAAUUUACUUACUGAUUAUCAGGUUGUCCGCACGUUGAUAGUGUAGAUAUCAAGCUUUGUGUCGAUUGAGCACAAGAACCAAUCAGAAAACGUUUUAUAUUUGACGAACAACUGCUAUUUUACAAUAUUAUUAAUAUGCAGACAAUCAGAUAAUCAAAUUGAUGGGGUUGUAUUUGCAUAUUUUGCAUGAUAGAAACAAUUAGGACUAUAGAUAAAAGCCGCGUUCUAUUCUACAUAACAAAAUGCAUGUACAAAGAUAGUAAUAUGACCCUUAUGGUCCAUUUGGUUGAAAUGUUCCAGCUUUUAAUUCUGUCAUUUUAGUCUGUUUGUUUUAUUUACAUAGUGUUGUCAUUAAAAAAAGGAAUUUCAUGCAACUGUCAUACAAGCGAGAUAUUUACAUUAAUUGGCUAUGAAACCUGGUUUAUUCCAUCACUUUCUACAUAAGAAAAUUCCUGUACCAAG